UCCACAUGUAUCUUAAAAGAAGGGCGCGUGUCCCACCUUUUCUCAGUACGGUGUAUGCUUAGCCAUCCCUAUGCUUUUUUGGUUAUUGUGGAUUCUCUCCUCACUCUGUUUUAACUAUUCUCCGAAGAUAAACAAUGUCAAGAUAAACAUCAACUCGCUCCUCUCCUUCAAAGCAUCUGAGGCUGGAACUGUUGUCUUCAUGCUGGUUUGAUCCCGCGUGUCUGUAACGAUCCGAUCGGUCGUUUUGAAUACGAGGCUUUCGGAGACCAAUUCUCGUGGCAAGGGCA